UCCCCGCAGCCUGCCCACCCCCCCUCAACCACACCGUCGUACAAGUGAACAAAAACGCCAACCCAGACCCACUGCCAAAAAAAGAGGAAGAGAAGAAGGAGGAGGAGGAAGACGACCGUGGGGAAGACGGCCCUAAGCCAAUGCCUCCCUAUAGCUCCAUGUUCAUCCUGUCCACGACCAACCCCCUUCGCCGCCUGUGCCAUUACAUCCUGAACCUGCGCUACUUUGAGAUGUGCAUCCUCAUGGUCAUUGCCAUGAGCAGCAUCGCCCUGGCCGCCGAGGACCCUGUGCAGCCCAACGCACCUCGGAACAACGUGCUGCGAUAUUUUGACUACGUUUUUACAGGCGUCUUUACCUUUGAGAUGGUGAUCAAGAUGAUUGACCUGGGGCUCGUCCUGCAUCAGGGUGCCUACUUCCGUGACCUCUGGAAUAUUCUUGACUUCAUAGUGGUCAGUGGGGCCCUGGUAGCCUUUGCCUUCACUGGCAAUAGCAAAGGAAAAGACAUUAACACGAUUAAAUCCCUCCGAGUCCUCCGGGUGCUACGACCUCUUAAAACCAUCAAGCGGCUGCCAAAGCUCAAGGCUGUGUUUGACUGUGUGGUGAACUCGCUUAAAAACGUCUUCAACAUCCUCAUCGUCUACAUGCUAUUCAUGUUCAUCUUCGCCGUGGUGGCUGUGCAGCUCUUCAAGGGGAAAUUCUUCCACUGCACUGACGAGUCUAAGGAGUUUGAGAAAGAUUGUCGAGGCAAAUACCUCCUGUACGAGAAGAAUGAGGUGAAGGCGCGAGAUCGGGAGUGGAAGAAGUAUGAAUUCCACUACGACAAUGUGCUGUGGGCUCUGCUGACCCUCUUCACCGUGUCCACGGGAGAAGGCUGGCCACAGGUCCUCAAGCACUCAGUGGAUGCCACCUUUGAGAACCAGGGCCCCAGCCCGGGGUACCGCAUGGAGAUGUCCAUUUUCUACGUUGUCUACUUUGUGGUGUUCCCCUUCUUCUUUGUCAAUAUCUUUGUGGCCUUGAUCAUCAUCACCUUCCAGGAGCAAGGGGACAAGAUGAUGGAGGAAUACAGCCUGGAGAAAAAUGAGAGGGCCUGCAUCGAUUUCGCCAUCAGCGCCAAGCCACUGACCCGACACAUGCCGCAGAACAAGCAGAGCUUCCAGUACCGUAUGUGGCAGUUCGUGGUGUCUCCACCUUUCGAGUACACGAUCAUGGCCAUGAUCGCCCUCAACACCAUCGUGCUGAUGAUGAAGUUCUACGGGGCUUCUGUUGCUUAUGAAAAUGCCCUGAGGGUGUUCAACAUCGUCUUCACCUCCCUCUUCUCCCUGGAAUGUGUGCUGAAAGUCAUGGCUUUUGGGAUUCUGGUAAGUACCACCUUGGGGCUACAGCUGUGGGCUUGGGAGAAGCCCAAGGGAGAACAAUGGGUCCUGGACGAUGGUCUCCCCACAUGGCCCCAAGAACCCCAACCUCAAGGGUGGCUUCAGCAUCCUGCCAGUGGCCACAGAUCCUACUUAGGCAUUCUUGUGUUUGCCAAGGAGUCCCAGGGAGACUCAACCUGUGAGUGUUACCAUAUGGCUGCUUAUGUAUCCAGCUCCUCAAAAUGAUGGGAGUCAUCAUGGCUGGGAGUCGUUAGCAUCCAUUUUAGAGAUAAGAAAACUGAAAUCAGGCUGGGCGAGGUGGCUCAUGGCUGUAAUUCCAACACUUUGAGAGGCCAAGGUGGGCGGAUCACCUGAGGUCGGGAGUUCGAGACCAGCCUGACCAACAUGGAGAAACUCUGUCUCUACUAAAAAUACAAAAUUAGCCGGGUGUGGUGGCGCAUGCCUGUAAUCCCAGCUACU
rnacentral:sRNA from 1 species